rnacentral:lncRNA from 1 species
AUUUAUUUUUCAAUAAUUAAUCAUAAAACAUGAUUAUACUUAUACCUAAUCAAUAUUACUUUAGCAUUAGCAAUGGCUCAUAAGCUAAAAUACAAAUGAAAAUCUUAUGAAAACUAAAUAAAGACAAGAACAAAUUCCUGUGUGGUCUCAACAACGGGAUAUUAGCUUUGAAUGGUUCGUAAUCAGUUUGUCUAACACCAGUUUUUCAAGUAAAGCCUUGGGUAUGCUCAUAAGCAAUGGCUCAUAAGCUCCAAAAAGUGGUGUUAUGAAAACUAAAUAAAGUAAAGAAAUAAAACCUAAAUGGUUCCAACAAGCCAUUCAUUUCUAUAUCAACAAUAAAAACCUAAUUUAAGGCUGCAACAGCUAUAUUAAUGCUCCUAAUAAGGAUUCAUAUCUUCGGAGGUAUAUACUUACAUUUUUGCUCUAAAUAUCACCGAUGUUAAGUCAAGUAUAGCUACCUGAAUUGUCAACCAAGGAGUCUUGUUUUCCUAUUUAAGAUAAGUAAUUAAGAAUUUACAUUUGAAUAUAUUAAUUUACUUUUCUGUUUAUUCUUUUAGAUGAACAUACGGCAUGCAAGAAAUGAAAAUAAAAUUCUACAAGCUGCUUGAAUUUUGAUAAUUGAUUUAAUUGUAAUAUUAUUUUUCCAUGAAAAUAUUUAUUGUUCCAUACUGUAUUACAAUUAUAUUACUAAUAAUUUGGAUAUAUAUUUUGUUGAUCAUUUACAGUUGUUAUUAACAAUUGUUUGUAUCUAUAUGUUCGUUUAAUUUUGUAUUAAUUUAAAUUUUUAAUUAAAAAUAAGUUAUA